rnacentral:rRNA from 1 species
CCUACGGGAGGCAGCAGUGGGGAAUAUUGCACAAUGGGGGAAACCCUGAUGCAGCGACGCCGCGUGAGUGAAGAAGUAUUUCGGUAUGUAAAGCUCUAUCAGCAGGGAAGAAAAUGACGGUACCUGUUUAAGAAGCACCGGCUAACUACGUGCCAGCAGCCGCGGUAAUACGUAGGGGGCCACCGUUAUCCGGAUUUACUGGGUGUAAAGGGAGCGUAGACGGCAGCGCAAGUCUGAAGUGAAAUGCCGGGGCUUAACCCCGGAACUGCUUUGGAAACUGUGCAGCUAGAGUGCAGGAGAGGUAAGUGGAAUUCCUAGUGUAGCGGUGAAAUGCGUAGAUAUUAGGAGGAACACCAGUGGCGAAGGCGGCUUACUGGACUGUAACUGACGUUGAGGCUCGAAAGCGUGGGGAGCAAACAGGAUUAGAUACCCGUGUAGUC